UUGGAGGGCAAGUCUGGUGCCAGCAGCCGCGGUAAUUCCAGCUCCAAUAGCGUAUAUUAAAGUUGCUGCAGUUAAAAAGCUCGUAGUUGAAUUUCGGGACUAAUAUGUUGGUCGUGCCUCGGUACGUACUGAUAUUUUUGGUUUCUCCCUUCUGACGAACCUUGAUGUCAUUAAUUUGGUGUCUUGGGAAAUCAGGACUGUUACUUUGAAAAAAUUAGAGUGUUUAAAGCAGGCUCACGCUUGAAUACAUUAGCAUGGAAUAAUGAAAUAGGACGUUUGAUUCUAUUUUGUUGUUUCUAGGAUCGACGUAAUGAUUAAUAGGGAUAGUUGGGGGCAUUAGUAUUCAAUUGUCAGAGGUGAAAUUCUUGGAUUUAUUGAAGACUAACUACUGCGAAAGCAUUUGCCAAGGAUGUUUUCAUUAAUCAAGAACGAAAGUUAGGGGAUCGAAGACGAUCAGAUACCGUCGUAGUCUUAACCAUAAACUAUGCCGACUAGGGAUCGGAUGAUGUUAAUUUUUUAAUGACUCAUUCGGCGCCUUACGGGAAACCAAAGUGUUUGGGUUC
rnacentral:rRNA from 1 species